UACGUAGGGAGCAAGCGUUGUCCGGAAUCAUUGGGCGUAAAGCGCGCGUAGGUGGCCCAGUAAGUCCGUUCUGAAAGUCACAGGCUCAACCUGUGACAGCGGAUGGAUACUGCUGGGCUAGAGUCCGGAAGAGGCGAGUGGAAUUCCUGGUGUAGCGGUGGAAUGCGCAGAUAUCAGGAGGAACACCAACGGCGAAGGCAGCUCGCUGGGACGGUACUGACACUGAGGCGCGAAAGCGUGGGGAGCGAACAGG
rnacentral:rRNA from 1 species